GACGAACGCUGGCGGCGUGCUUAACACAUGCAAGUCGAACGGAAAGGCCCUGCUUUUGUGGGGUGCUCGAGUGGCGAACGGGUGAGUAACACGUGAGUAACCUGCCCUUGACUUUGGGAUAACUUCAGGAAACUGGGGCUAAUACCGGAUAGGAGCUCCUGCUGCAUGGUGGGGGUUGGAAAGUUUCGGCGGUUGAGGAUGGACUCGCGGCUUAUCAGCUUGUUGGUGGGGUAGUGGCUUACCAAGGCUUUGACGGGUAGCCGGCCUGAGAGGGUGACCGGCCACAUUGGGACUGAGAUACGGCCCAGACUCCUACGGGAGGCAGCAGUGGGGAAUAUUGCACAAUGGGCGGAAGCCUGAUGCAGCAACGCCGCGUGCGGGAUGACGGCCUUCGGGUUGAAAACCGCUUUCGCCUGUGACGAAGCGUGAGUGACGGUAAUGGGUAAAGAAGCACCGGCUAACUACGUG
rnacentral:rRNA from 1 species